rnacentral:rRNA from 1 species
AGCAGCCGCGGUAAUUCCAGCUCCAAUAGCGUAUAUUAAAGUUGUUGCAGUUAAAAAGCUCGUAGUUGAAUUUCGAGAUCAAAUUGUUGGUCGUGCCUCGGUACGUACUGGCAUUAUUGAUUUCUCCCUUCCGAAGAACCACGAUGUCAUUAAUUUGGUGUCGUGGGGAAUCAGGACUGUUACUUUGAAAAAAAUUAGAGUGUUUAAAGCAGGCUCACGCUUGAAUACAUUAGCAUGGAAUAAUGAAAUAGGACGUUUGAUUCUAUUUUGUUGGUUUCUAGGAUUGACGUAAUGAUUAAUAGGGAUAGUUGGGGGCAUUAGUAUUCAAUUGUCAGAGGUGAAAUUCUUGGAUUUAUUGAAGACUAACUACUGCGAAAGCAUUUGCCAAGGAUGUUUUCAUUAAUCAAGAACGAAAGUUAGCGGAUCGAAGGCGAUCAGAUACCGCCCUA